rnacentral:lncRNA from 10 species
UUUUAUCUCAAAUUCUUUGCUUCCAUGCUACAGUUUCUUGUUCAAGAAGUUCUGGACUUCAGCGUCUUCAGAAACACUGUCUCCAGAAAGAAUCCCUGCCCUUGAAGGACUCGUAAUUGGGUUGAGAGUCAGAUGCCCCACAGCAAGCUCUAAUGCAAGACAAAUUAAGCAACAAAAGGGCACCCCUUGAAAUUACUAGAAGCAUACAGAGGACCCAGGUGGACUUCAUGGAGGUAGUGGCACUUGAGCUGGUAUUUGAAGGAAGGUGAGAUCAUGCUCACGUGAAGGUGUGGUGGAGAACGCUGCAGAUAGAACCAGCCUGUGAAGUAAGGGGCCUUUCUGGGAAAGACACUUCAUUCGCAAUCAAGAGUGAGGCUCGGCUGGGCGCGGUGGCUCACGCCUGUAAUCCCAGCACUUUGGGAGGCCGAGGAAGGCGGAUCACGAGGUCAGGAGAUCAAGACCAUCUUUGCUAACACGGUGAAAUCCCGUCUGUACUGAAAAUACAAAAAAUUAGCCGGGUGCGGUGGUGGGCUCCUGUAGUCUCAGCUACUCAGGAGGCCGAGGCAGGAGAAUGGCAUGAACCCGGGAGGCGGAGCUUGCAGUGAGCCGAGAUUGCGCCACUGCAGUCCAGCCUGGGCGACAGAGCGAGACUCCAUCUCAAAAAAAAAAAAAAAGAGUGAGGCUCAGUAAGGACCGCUUUUAGGCACCUACUUUUUGUCUUCUAUCCAGUCAUUUGCGGGACAUUCCCAGUCCCACAUUGCAAGCUCACAAAGAACAGGGAUAAUGUCUUAGUCACACUUUUACCCCUCCAGUUCCUGGUUCAGGUAAGAUGUUUAAAUAUUGAAUUAUCACACGGGUAUUUGAUACAUAUUUCCUGUUUGAAUAAAAUUGCUCUAACAGCAAUGGUUCUCAACCAUGGGUGGUUCCCCACCUCCACCGCCCCGGGGACAUUUGACAAUGUCUGGAGACGUUUUUGUUUGUCAUGAGUGGCUGGGUGUAGUGGGUGCUACUGGCAUCUAGUAGGUAGAGGCCAGGGAUGCAGCUCAACAUCUUACAAGGCACAGAACAGCCCCACUCCAAAGAAUGAUCAAAUCCAGAAUGUCAAUGUGCCAACGUUGAAAAUCCCUGCUCCAGACAACCAAAUAGGAAUGCAUUCUCUAGAUUCCUUUUGGUAAGGCUGAAAUAAAUGUUUGAAAUUUUUUUAAGGGUAAAAUUGUAAGACCCUAGACCCAGGAUCAUCUUAUCUCAUUAACAAACAUACAUGAACUGUUCUCUGUCAGUAGGGAGAACCCUGUGUAGUUAGUCUAUGCUUCCUCAACACACCAGCAGCAUCUCAUGGCAAGAAGCUCCAAGGUGAUUUU